rnacentral:rRNA from 1 species
GUGCUUUAACAUGCAAGUCGAACGAUGAAGCCUAGCUUGCUAGGUGGAUUAGUGGCGAACGGGUGAGUAAUACGUGAGUAACCUACCUUUAACUCUGGGAUAAGCCUGGGAAACUGGGUCUAAUACCGGAUACGACCAAUCUCCGCAUGGGGUGUUGGUGGAAAGCGUUAUGUAGUGGUUAUAGAUGGGCUCACGGCCUAUCAGCUUGUUGGUGAGGUAACGGCUCACCAAGGCGACGACGGGUAGCCGGCCUGAGAGGGUGACCGGCCACACUGGGACUGAGACACGGCCCAGACUCCUACGGGAGGCAGCAGUGGGGAAUAUUGCACAAUGGGCGCAAGCCUGAUGCAGCGACGCCGCGUGAGGGAUGACGGCCUUCGGGUUGUAAACCUCUGUUAGCAGGGAAGAAGAGAGAUUGACGGUACCUGCAGAGAAAGCGCCGGCUAACUACGUGCCAGCAGCCGCGGUAAUACGUAGGGCGCGAGCGUUGUCCGGAAUUAUUGGGCGUAAAGAGCUUGUAGGCGGUUUGUCGCGUCUGCUGUGAAAGGCCGGAGCUUAACUCCGUGUAUUGCAGUGGGUACGGGCAGACUAGAGUGCAGUAGGGGAGACUGGAAUUCCUGGUGUAGCGGUGGAAUGCGCAGAUAUCAGGAGGAACACCGAUGGCGAAGGCAGGUCUCUGGGCUGUAACUGACGCUGAGAAGCGAAAGCAUGGGGAGCGAACAGGAUUAGAUACCCUGGUAGUCCAUGCCGUAAACGUUGGGCACUAGGUGUGGGGAACAUUCCACGUUUUCCGCGCCGUAGCUAACGCAUUAAGUGCCCCGCCUGGGGAGUACGGCCGCAAGGCUAAAACUCAAAGAAAUUGACGGGGGCCCGCACAAGCGGCGGAGCAUGCGGAUUAAUUCGAUGCAACGCGAAGAACCUUACCAAGGCUUGACAUAUACUGGACCGCAUCAGAGAUGGUGUUUCCCUUCCGGGCUGGUAUACAGGUGGUGCAUGGUUGUCGUCAGCUCGUGUCGGGAGAUGUUGGGUUAAGCUCCCCCAACGAGCGCAACCCUCGUUCUAUGUUGCCAGCACGUUAUGGGGGGGGACUCAUAAGGAAACUGCCGGGGUCAACUCGGAGGAAGGUGGGGAUGACGUCAAAUCAUCAUGCCCCUUAUGUCUUGGGCUUCACGCAUGCUACAAUGGCCGGUACAGAGGGUUGCGAUACUGUGAGGUGGAGCUAAUCCCUAAAAGCCGGUCUCAGUUCGGAUUGGGGUCUGCAACUCGACCCCAUGAAGUCGGAGUCGCUAGUAAUCGCAGAUCAGCAACGCUGCGGUGAAUACGUUCCCGGGCCUUGUACACACCGCCCGUCAAGUCACGAAAGUUGGUAACACCCAAAGCCGGUGGCCUAACCCUUUUGGGAGGGAAGCCUCCAA